GUGGGGAAUAUUGGACAAUGGGGGGAACCCUGAUCCAGCCAUGCCGCGUGUGUGAAGAAGGCCUUUUGGUUGUAAAGCACUUUAAGCGAGGAGGAGGCUACCGAGAUUAAUACUCUUGGAUAGUGGACGUUACUCGCAGAAUAAGCACCGGCUAACUCUGUGCCAGCAGCCGCGGUAAUACAGAGGGUGCAAGCGUUAAUCGGAUUUACUGGGCGUAAAGCGCGCGUAGGUGGCAAAUUAAGUCAAAUGUGAAAUCCCCGAGCUUAACUUGGGAAUUGCAUUCGAUACUGGUUGGCUAGAGUAUGGGAGAGGAUGGUAGAAUUCCAGGUGUAGCGGUGAAAUGCGUAGAGAUCUGGAGGAAUACCGAUGGCGAAGGCAGCCAUCUGGCCUAAUACUGACACUGAGGUGCGAAAGCAUGGGGAGCAAACAGGAUUAGAAACCCGGGUAGUCC
rnacentral:rRNA from 1 species